rnacentral:tRNA from 1 species
GAGUGGCUAGUCUAACAAAAGACAGUUGAUUUCGGCUUAACUAAUUAUGGUUCAAAUCCAUAGCCCCUCU